rnacentral:tRNA from 2 species
GUUAUUUUGGCAGAUUAGUGCAACAAAUUUAGAAUUUGUUAAUAUAUUAGAGUAAAUAAUA